UCAAGCCUUGGACGACGUACACGUCGUGAAAUAAGUAAUUGGAAUGUCUCUAUUAAUCUAACGAAAUAGGAACGUGCAGAAGUAAAUGAAUGGAGACGUGCCCAUAUUGCAAAGCAUUGCAAUGCAUUGAAGUUUCAAUCGAAAACCCCUUGCAUAUGCUGCGCUGCUGGAAAGGUACAAUUGCCCGAUUUGACUCAUCCGCCAGAGCCAUUGUAUUCGUUUCUCUAUGGUCACCGAGUAUAUGAGACUCAUCGGUCAUAUGAUUCACUUCAAUACCCAUUGAUGUUCUGUCGUGGAGAGGAUGGCUACCAUUUAAAUGGUCAAUGCAAUAACAGGAGAAGAAACGAAUAAGAAGGUCAGCGCAAUGAAUUUUUAUUCGUAUCGAUUGAUGAUUCGGCAAGAGGAUGACAAACAUCUUUUAAGAUAUCGUCGAUUGUUUCAACAGUACUGCGUCGACAUGUACGUAAAGCGGCUGAAUUUUAUUCGUUUUAAUCAGUCGAAGUUACGAUCAAAACAUCCACUUACUUGACGCCAUCGCUACUGAACAAAACGCCGCCAACAUAGGUUGUUUGACUAUUCUCCCAGAUAUUUAUGUUGUUCAUCACGUUCACUUCCAACCCGAAAUGGCCCGAAAUUGCGAAUCUGUUGCUGACAAGACAAACAUUCAGCACGAUUACUGCACGAUUAUUCAAACAAAAAAUCAGAGUACUCAUGAAUUACAUUGUUAAGGAAAAGGUUUUUGGCGAAAUUCGUUUUUAGAUGUACCACCUGCACACAUUUUGCUUUAAAUGUUCGUCAAGAUUCGACCAGCUCAUAUUGAUUCUGGCCCAUAUUGGCCCUUGCGGAGAGUCACCCAGAGUCACCGUGUAUGGAAAACGAAAAGUGCACAAAGCGUUUUCCCCGUCUGUUGGUGAACGACACAUUGUAUCCAUUGUAUCGGCGUUAUUCACCAAAUGACAAAAUCAGAUCAAUCGUGAUGAAAGUGAAAGAAUGUCGUUAUCGAUAACCGCGGGAUCGUUCCAUACUGUCCGCUUUUGUCAUAUACGUUCUCAAACCACUGCACUGUUGAGUACUGCAACUCCAUCAAAUCCAUCAAAUACGUUUGCAAACAUUUCAACAAAGGGAGCGACAUGGCGGUGUUUUGCAUUGCCGGUCCGGCAAACGACGAGAGGACGAAAUUUCAACUUGGGCGUGAGUUGUAACGAGGCAAUUUGGAGUCUGUUUUCAUUUCCGAUCCAUGAGCGUCACCCGACUGUCGUGCAAUUGGCAUUUCACGUGGAAAACGGACAUCGUGUAUAGUUUACGGACGCAAAUAUAGCGCAAAGGGCAGAACGACCAAUAGCGACAAUAUUGACAAAUUUUUUUUUUGGACAUGCGAAAGCGAUCUGCUUG